ACGAGUGGCGGACGGGUGAGUAAUGUCUGGGAAACUGCCUGAUGGAGGGGGAUAACUACUGGAAACGGUAGCUAAUACCGCAUAACGUCGCGAGACCAAAGAGGGGGACCUUCGGGCCUCUUGCCAUCGGAUGUGCCCAGAUGGGAUUAGCUAGUAGGUGGGGUAACGGCUCACCUAGGCGACGAUCCCUAGCUGGUCUGAGAGGAUGACCAGCCACACUGGAACUGAGACACGGUCCAGACUCCUACGGGAGGCAGCAGUGGGGAAUAUUGCACAAUGGGCGCAGGCCUGAUGCAGCCAUGCCGCGUGUAUGAAGAAGGCCUUCGGGUUGUAAAGUACUUUCAGCGGGGAGGAAGGUGCUGAGGUUAAUAACCUCAGCAAUUGACGUUACCCGCAGAAGAAGCACCGGCUAACUCCGUGCCAGCAGCCGCGGUAAUACGGAGGGUGCAAGCGUUAAUCGGAAUUACUGGGCGUAAAGCGCACGCAGGCGGUCUGUCAAGUCGGAUGUGAAAUCCCCGGGCUCAACCUGGGAACUGCAUUCGAAACUGGCAGGCUAGAGUCUUGUAGAGGGGGGUAGAAUUCCAGGUGUAGCGGUGAAAUGCGUAGAGAUCUGGAGGAAUACCGGUGGCGAAGGCGGC
rnacentral:rRNA from 1 species